GCUUGCAGAAUAAAGCCUAUCCUUGAAAGCUCUGAAUCAUGGGCAGUGAGCUCAGUGGUAUCUGGAGGACAGGGCACUGGCCACUGCAGUCACCAUCUUCUGCCAGGAAGCCUGCACCUCAGGGGUGAAUUCUUUGCCGAAAUGGAUUGCCAAAACGGUCACCAGCACAUUUCCCAGGAGCUUGAAGUUCUCAGGAUCCACAUGCAGCUUGUCACAGUGCAG
rnacentral:lncRNA from 1 species